UGUGAACCCCUCAAUGGGUUAAAUUUAAUUAAUAAAUAUGAAAGAAAUUUUAAAGCCAGCGUUUGAUGAUACAUUUGUUACAAAAUACCAUUAUCGGAAUGCUCUGAGCGCUGCCGCUGAAAAGUUGCUUUUCGUACAAAAACACCCCUGGCCCUUGUUGUUGCGUGUCGUGUUGAAUUUACAUUUCCAAGUAAUUUGCUUGUGUCAAAAGGUACAUAGCAAGGUGAGAGUUUCGUGAAGAUUUGAGCACUCGGCAUUAGGGUACGGCUGCCAGACGUCCUUGUUUUCUAGGAUUUGUCCUAUUUAGACAAAUUGUCCUGGUGUCCUGGUCCACAUUUAAAUUGUCCUGGUUUUUAAUGAAGUUAGGCUCUCUGUCAAACUGAUAACGAAACGUUUUUUCUAACAUGUUGAAUAUCUGGAAAAUGCCAAAAAAGUGCAUGUUCCCGAUCAGGUACACGGCUGAGGGGUCAUCCAUAAUUACAACCCAGAAGGUAAUUUCAGGAGCUAAAAUCUCAUCAAAAAGGCCUUUCUUUCCUUUCUCCUUCAUUUUUGUAUGGAGUGGCAAAAAUUGAAGGUGUAGGAUGCCUUCUUAAGAAGUUCUUUUAACGUUUUUCUCAAUUCAUAAAAAUCAUACUUCUUUAAGGAA
rnacentral:lncRNA from 1 species